UGGUUGUGGUGGUGGUGGGAGUUGUGGUGGUGGUGGGAGUGGUGGUGGUGGUGGGAGUGGUGGUGGGAGUGGUGGUGGUGGUGGUGGGAGUGGUGGUCGUGGUGGUGGGAGUCGUGGUGGUGGUGGGAGUCGUGGUGGUGGUGGGAGUGGUGGUCGUGGUGGUGGGAGUCGUGGUGGUGGUGGUGGUGGGAGUCGUGGUGGUGGUGAUGGGAGUGGUGGUGGUGGUAGUGGUGGUGGGAGUCGUGGUGGUGGUGGUGAUGGGAGUGGUGGUGGUGGGAGUGGUGGUGGUGGUAGUGGGAAUCGUGGUGGUGGUAGUGGGAGUCGUGGUGGUUGUGGGAGUCGUGGUGGUGGUAGUGGGAGUCGUGGUGGUUGUGGGAGUCGUGGCGGUCGUGGUGGUGGUGGUGGUGGGAGUCGUGGUGGUCGUGGUGGUGGUCGUGGGAGUCAUGGUGGUGGUGGGAGUUGUGGUUUUCGUGGGAGUCGUGGUGGUCGUGGUGGUGGUGGGAGUCGUGGUGGUGG
ensembl:lncRNA